rnacentral:rRNA from 1 species
GAGGAGGCAGGCGACCACGGUGGGCUUAGCGACUGGGGUGAAGUCGUAACAAGGUAGCCGUAGGGGAACCUGCGGCUGGAUCACCUCCUUUCUAAGG